UACGGGGGGGCAAGCGUUGUUCGGAAUUACUGGGCGUAAAGGGCUCGUAGGCGGCCAACUAAGUCAGACGUGAAAUCCCUCGGCUUAACCGGGGAACUGCAUCUGAUACUGGAUGGCUUGAGUUCGGGAGAGGGAUGCGGAAUUCCAGGUGGUAGCGGUGAAAUGCGUAGAUAUCUGGAGGAACACCGGUGGCGAAGGACGGCAUCCUGGACCGACGACUGACGCUGAGGAGCGAAAGCCAGGGGAGCAAACGGG
rnacentral:rRNA from 1 species